rnacentral:lncRNA from 1 species
AACCACUGACGCAACCCAUUCAAACUAAACAAACUAGGAAGCGUCUUACAUUUACAUUUACAUUUAGUCAUUUAGCAGACGCUUUUGUCCAAAGCGACGUACAAGGGAGAGAACAGUCAAGCUAAGAGCAAUAAAAAAGCAUGGUGUAACAAUAAAUACUACUUUACAUGAGAAUUAGAAAAACAACAACCUAGAAAAGAGGAAAAAGAAGUGCAGGAAAAAAGCGCCGGCGUGAUCUCCCGAGUGAACAUGUCUGCAGAAAAAAUGAACAUGUCUGCAGAAAUGAAGAUGCGAGGUAUUCGCACGCAGUGGUCAGUCCUCUUGAUGUAUGUCAUCAGUCAGGUCUCCGCGGUUCCUGUCACACUCCCUUGUGAGGGAAAAGUGCAACUUGACGGAUCCUACGUGUUUGGACUGCAACCCAUCAUUACUGACUUACUGAACGAUCCCUCAUGUGAAGUACAGUUGAUGACUGAGGUGAAACUCAAAUUCCUUGUGGACAAAUGCUUCUGGCAGAGUAUAACAUGUUGCAAUUACAGAUAUAAACCAGUUACAGGUUAGGUUGAGCCACAGAUUUUAUAAAAAAUUCUUUCCUGCUAUUUUCCACAGAAUACUGUGAGGGUUAGAUAUGAGAAGGGGAAUGUGCCUGCCUCCUUGUCAUCACCAGUCCUGAAAGCCACGAUGCGCAAUUUCACUUUGAGCAACUGCUCCAACUCCAUCACACUGGAUGUAGAUUGCCCACUCAGACGAGAGGUCUCAAUUUGUUCACAAUUGCACCCACUAAUCUUCAUAUGAGAUAAUGAGGUGUAAUACUUGUCAUUAAUAUCUAUUUAUUUGUCUAUUUUCCCUCUCAAUUUGGCUACAAAGGUCCCAAAAUCAGUACACUGCCAUUGUAAGUAUUUCCAUACACCUGUACAUCCCACAGAAUUCCAUGAGUGGACACAAAGGUAUAGUGUUUGCAAGGGAGUGGGUAUGUACGGUGAUACUAUGUGUAAACUAUCUUCUUGUCUGGAUGAAACAUUGAAUGAGUAGACCUUAUUUUCACUUUGUUGGUCAACAGAAGCUCUUACAGCACUCCACGGUCAAUGAUCCCUCUCUGAUACCUUCGUAUUUGUGUCCGUUUGUUCCCAGGUAACUAUUCUGCUCCAGUCCAGUCCAUCCCCUCCACUGCCACACCGCUAACCACAGUAUCGAAGGGUAAGUCGAGGAUGGAAAAGGACUGCACCUAUUUUAUCCACACGUGCUUCAUACUCAAUGCCUUAUCAAAUGUCUCAUCUUUCAGCAAACAACACCAACAGUGGUGUUGCUAUUGGUCUUGGUGUCGCUGCCAUUGCCAUUGCCAUUGCCAUUGCCAUCGCCUGGUUCAUCUUUAAACACAGGUAUGUU